AUUCUCGCUUGUGUGUGCAUAUUGUGGUGAUGUUGCCACAAGG
rnacentral:sRNA from 1 species